GUAAAUAGCCUCUGUAAAACCUCCCCGUUGCUGUUCACCUCAGGCACUUUCCUUGUCUUGUAAGGGCUUUCUACUUAAUAGGAGCCUUGAGAAACAUGGCUUCCAGAAAGAGUCCUCUAGUGGGCGUCUCAUGAUUAACUGGGUUGCUUUACAUCCAUUUUGUUCAAGAAAAAAAAAUAGAUAUGCUUUCUUUUAUAACAGUUGAAGGGUCUGUACAAGAUACACCUUCCAAGAGGAACAAGCCAAUCUCCAUCAGCUCCACAGUAGAGUUUAGGAGUAUCCCGCUCCUCAGCACUCUUCACACAUGAACCCCGCACUUCAACCAAAGAGGAAGAAUCAACCCUUGGGAUGGUAUCAGGAAACAUAGCCAAGUUCCUCACAGUGAAGGGACAUUUUUUGUAGAAAACACGGACUGAGACCAGGGCUAUGCAAGCUCCAAUGUCUUGAAAAGCCAAAUAAAAUCCUUUCCUUUC